UAGCGGCAGGCUUAACACAUGCAAGUCGAGGGGCAGCGGGGAGGAAGCUUGCUUUCUCCGCCGGCGACCGGCGCACGGGUGAGUAACACGUAUGCAACCUGCCCCUGUCAGGGGGACAACCCGCCGAAAGGCGGGCUAAACCCGCGUACAUGCCACCGGGGCAUCCCGGAGGCAGGAAAGGCUUCGGCCGGACAGGGAUGGGCAUGCGGCGCAUUAGGCAGUAGGCGGGAUAACGGCCCACCUAACCGACGAUGCGUAGGGGUUCUGAGAGGAAGGUCCCCCACACUGGUACUGAGACACGGACCAGACUCCUACGGGAGGCAGCAGUGAGGAAUAUUGGUCAAUGGUCGGGAGACUGAACCAGCCAAGCCGCGUGAGGGAGGAAGGUACAGAGUAUCGUAAACCUCUUUUGUCAGGGAACAAAGGCGGGGACGUGUCCCCGGAUGAGUGUACCUGAAGAAAAAGCAUCGGCUAACUCCGUGCCAGCAGCCGCGGUAAUACGGAGGAUGCGAGCGUUAUCCGGAUUUAUUGGGUUUAAAGGGUGCGCAGGCGGUCUGUUAAGUCAGCGGUCAAAGCCCGGGGCUCAACCCCGGCCCGCCGUUGAAACUGGCAGUCUCGAGUUGGAGAGAAGUAUGCGGAAUGCGCGGUGUAGCGGUGAAAUGCAUAGAUAUCGCGCAGAACUCCGAUUGCGAAAGCAGCAUGCCGGCUCCACACUGACGCUGAGGCACGAAAGCGUGGGUAUCGAACAGGAUUAGAUACCCUGGUAGUCCACGCAGUAAACGAUGAAUGCAGGCUGUCCGGGGGGAUUGACCCCUGGGUGGCGAAGCGAAAGCGAUAAGCAUUCCACCUGGGGAGUACGCCGGCAACGGUGAAACUCAAAGGAAUUGACGGGGGCCCGCACAAGCGGAGGAACAUGUGGUUUAAUUCGAUGAUACGCGAGGAACCUUACCCGGGCUCAAACGGGGAGUGACUCAGGCAGAGACGCCUGUUUCCCACGGGACACUCCCCGAGGUGCUGCAUGGUUGUCGUCAGCUCGUGCCGUGAGGUGUCGGCUUAAGUGCCAUAACGAGCGCAACCCCCGCGUGCAGUUGCUAACAGAUAACGCUGAGGACUCUGCACGGACUGCCGGCGCAAGCCGCGAGGAAGGCGGGGAUGACGUCAAAUCAGCACGGCCCUUACGUCCGGGGCGACACACGUGUUACAAUGGGUGGUACAGCGGGAAGCCAGGCGGCGACGCCGAGCGGAACCCGAAAUCCACUCUCAGUUCGGAUCGGAGUCUGCAACCCGACUCCGUGAAGCUGGAUUCGCUAGUAAUCGCGCAUCAGCCAUGGCGCGGUGAAUACGUUCCCGGGCCUUGU
rnacentral:rRNA from 1 species